ensembl:snRNA U6 U6 spliceosomal RNA
GUACUCACUUUGGCAUCAUGUGCAUAAGAAUAGGAGUGAUACAGAGAAAAUGACUAUAGGCCAUGUAUAAGAAUGACAUCUAAAUUCAUGAAGUGCUCCAUAUUUUU